rnacentral:rRNA from 1 species
CACGUAGGGACCAAGCGUUGUCCGGAAUCAUUGGGCGUAAAGCGCGUGUAGGCAGCCAGGUAAGUCCGUUCUGAAAGCCCGGGGCUCAACCCCGGGAGGCGGAUGGAUACUGCUUGGCUCGAGUCCGGAAGAGGCGAGUGGAAUUCCCGGUGUAGCGGUGAAAUGCGCAGAUAUCGGGAGGAACACCAAUGGCGAAGGCAGCUCGCUGGGACGGUACUGACGCUGAGACGCGAAAGCGUGGGAGCAACAGG